GCCGCGUGAGUGAUGAAGGCCCUCGGGUUGUAAAGCUCUUUCGGAGGGAAGAUAAUGACGGUACCAAUAGAAUAAGCCCCGGCUAACUUCGUGCCAGCAGCCGCGGUAAUACGAAGGGGGCUAGCGUUGUUCGGAAUUAUUGGGCGUAAAGGGUGCGUAGGCGGUUCUCCAAGUCUGGUGUGAAAUCUCCGGGCUCAACUCGGAAACUGCCUUUGAAACUGCCGGGCUUGAGUAUGGGAGAGGUGAGUGGAAUUUCCGGUGUAGCGGUGAAAUGCGUAGAUAUCCGGAGGAACACCUGUGGCGAAAGCGGCUCACUGGACCAUUACUGACGCUGAGGCACGAAAGCUUGGGGAGCAAACAGGAUUAGAUACCCUGGUAGUCCACGCCCUAAACGAUGAUUGCUUG
rnacentral:rRNA from 1 species